GUAAUUCCGGUGAAGAUGCCGGAUACCUGCGACAGGACGGAAAGACCCCAUGGAGCUUUACUGUAGCUUGACAUUGGGUCUUGGUACUACAUGUACAGGAUAGGUGGGAGGCUUUGAAACCAGGACGCCAGUUUUGGCGGAGCCAUCCUUGGGAUACCACCCUUGUAGUACUGGGACUCUAACCAUAGGCCAUGAAUCUGGUCUUGGGACACUGUCAGGUGGGCAGUUUGACUGGGGCGGUCGCCUCCCAAAAGGUAACGGAGGCGCUCAAAGGUUCUCUCAGUACGGUCGGAAAUCGUACGUAGAGUGUAAAGGCAAAAGAGAGCUUGAUUGCAAGACAUACAGGUCGAGCAAGGAUGAAAAUCGGACUUAGUGAUCCGGUGGUUCUGCGUGGAAGGGCCAUCGCUCAACGGAUAAAAGCUACCCUGGGGAUAACAGGCUUAUCUCCCCCAAGAGUCCACAUCGACGGGGAGGUUUGGCACCUCGAUGUCGGCUCAUCACAUCCUGGGGCUGUAGUAG
rnacentral:rRNA from 1 species